rnacentral:rRNA from 1 species
UACGUAGGGUGCAAGCGUUGUCCGGAAUUAUUGGGCGUAAAGAGCUCGUAGGCGGUCUGUUGCGUCGGCUGUGAAAACCCGGGGCUCAACUCCGGGCCUGCAGCCGAUACGGGCAGACUAGAGUUCGGCAGGGGAGGCUGGAAUUCCUGGUGUAGCGGUGAAAUGCGCAGAUAUCAGGAGGAACACCGGUGGCGAAGGCGGGUCUCUGGGCCGAUACUGACGCUGAGGAGCGAAAGCGUGGGGAGCGAACAGG